UACGAAGGGGGCUAGCGUUGUUCGGAAUUACUGGGCGUAAAGCGCACGUAGGCGGAUAUUUAAGUCAGGGGUGAAAUCCCGGGGCUCAACCCCGGAACUGCCUUUGAUACUGGGUAUCUUGAGUUCGGAAGAGGUGAGUGGAAUUGCGAGUGUAGAGGUGAAAUUCGUAGAUAUUCGCAGGAACACCAGUGGCGAAGGCGGCUCACUGGUCCGAUACUGACGCUGAGGUGCGAAAGCGUGGGGAGCGAACAGG
rnacentral:rRNA from 1 species